CCCUCUACAGAGACGUCAUGCAGGAGAACUAUGAGAAUGUGACCUCGCUGGGGUUUCCAGUUUCCAAACCCUACGUGAUCUCCCAGCUGGAAGGAGGGGAAAAGCCGUGGGUCCUGGAUCUCCAGGGUUCAGGGAAAGCGAGAUCCUGAGAAGUCCCUGGACAGCAGGUGAUGGGCUGGUGAGGGAGAGCGAGGAGCAGAAUCCUCCCCAGGAAGAUGCUGAGCUCGCCGAAGCACAUGGGGAAUUACUGCAAAGAGCCAAAGGGAGCGUGUCCCGCCCCCGUGAGCAGGGAAAAGCUGGUGAAAGUUACCCCAGACCAGAGAGAGAGCAGGGAAACCACUCAGAGGAGAGAGUGGAUGAACCCAUGGAUUGUCAGGGAACUCACAGGGACCUCAAGGAAACUACAU